GACGAACGCUGGCGGCGUGCUUAACACAUGCAAGUCGAACGGAAAGGCCCUGCUUUUGUGGGGUGCUCGAGUUGCGACCGGGUGAGUUACACUUGAGUAACCUGCCCUUCACUUUGGGAUAACUUCAUGAAACUUGGUCUAAUACCGGAUAGGAGCUCCUGCUUCACGGUGGGGGUUGGAUAGUUUCGGGGGUUGGGGAUGGACUCGCGGCUUAUCAGCUUGUUGGUUGGGUAGUGUCUUACCAAGGCUUUGACGGGUAGCCGGGCUGAGAGGGGGAGCGGACACAUUGGGACUGAGAUACGGCACAGACUAGUAUGGGAGGCAGGGGAGGAGAGGAGUACACAAGAGGAGGAAGGAUGAUGUAGCAAAGCAGUGUGCGGGAAGAGGGCAAGGGGGUAGGAAACUGAUUUCGCCUGUGACGAAGCGUGAGUGACGGUAACGGGUAAAGAAGCACCGGCUAACUACGUG
rnacentral:rRNA from 1 species